AUUGAACGCUGGCGGCAUGCUUUACACAUGCAAGUCGAACGGUAACAGGCCUUCGGGUGCUGACGAGUGGCGAACGGGUGAGUAAUGCAUCGGAACGUACCCAGAGGUGGGGGAUAACGCAGCGAAAGCUGUGCUAGUACCGCAUGUGAUCUGAGGAUGAAAGCGGGGGACCGAGCAGCAAUGUUUGGCCUCGCGCCUUUGGAGCGGCCGAUGUCGGAUUAGCUAGUUGGUGGGGUAAAGGCCUACCAAGGCGACGAUCCGUAGCUGGUCUGAGAGGACGACCAGCCACACUGGGACUGAGACACGGCCCAGACUCCUACGGGAGGCAGCAGUGGGGAAUUUUGGACAAUGGGCGCAAGCCUGAUCCAGCAAUGCCGCGUGCGGGAAGAAGGCCUUCGGGUUGUAAACCGCUUUUGGCAGGAACGAAACGGUGUCCGCUAAUACCGGGCGCUAAUGACGGUACCUGCAGAAUAAGCACCGGCUAACUACGUG
rnacentral:rRNA from 1 species